rnacentral:tRNA from 1 species
GGUGGGUUAGAUCAAUGGUUAGAGCUUAAGCCUUGUGACCGGAAGAUCCUGGGUUCGAAUCUCGCCAGAACUAAAU